rnacentral:rRNA from 1 species
UUGGAGGGCAAGUCUGGUGCCAGCAGCCGCGGUAAUUCCAGCUCCAAUAGCGUAUAUUAAAGUUGUUGCAGUUAAAAAGCUCGUAGUUGAAUUUCGGGGUCAGCAGGUUGGUCGUGCCAAUGGUAUGCACUGGCCUUGCUGAUUCCUCCCUCUUGAUGAGCCGUAAUGUCAUUAAUUUGGUGUUGCGGGGAAUCAGGACUGUUACUUUGAAAAAAUUAGAGUGUUUAAAGCAGGCAAGCGCUUGAAUACAUUAGCAUGGAAUAAUGAAAUAGGACGUUUGAUCCUAUUUUGUUGGUUUCUAGGAUUGACGUAAUGAUUAAUAGGGAUAGUUGGGGGCAUUAGUAUUCAAUUGUCAGAGGUGAAAUUCUUGGGUUUAUUGAAGACUAACUACUGCGAAAGCAUUUGCCAAGGAUGUUCUCAUUAAUCAAGAACGAAAGUUAGGGGAUCGAAGACGAUCAGAUACCGUCGUAGUCUUAACCAUAAACUAUGCCGACUAGGGAUCGGAUGAUGUUAAUUUUUUAAUGACUCAUUCGGCGCCUUACGGGAAAC